UAAGAGAUGUCACUUACGCCUCCUCCUCACAGCCCUAAAUCGCUGACUCUUCACUCUUUCCUUUCCCGAAAUCGCCGAUUUCACACCUCACAUCCUCUCUGCCACAUCGACGGAGCACCGCACCGUGACAUGAGCUCGGGCCAAGCUUCACAACCCAUAGUCGAUACCAUGAAGAACAUCUUGAUCGGGUGAAGCUCAUCGUCGGUGCAACAGCCAAGGCGAGGAUGGCUGGCGGAGGCGCAAGAAGUGAAAGGCAAGUAUGCUCACAUAUGUUGCUAUGGAAUUUGAGAGGUGAGGGAGAUACCUCCUAGGAGAUGAUAGGGGGAAUGCGGAUGGAGUAGAUGAGGGGACGAGAUGGAUGCACGACACACUAUCCGGACGUCUUGGAGUGCUAGGAAGGCUUAUGUCCUUAUGUGCCCUUUUUAUUGUAUGAGUUGUAUUAGAGCCUCCCUGUUCUUUCUAUUAACUUCUUGUUUGUGAUGCUACUAGUUACGUUGGGUAUGGUGGUUCAUUAUGAUGAAUUUACUAUUCUGGUACUUUACAGGGUAUGUUUA